UACAGAGGUCCCAAGCGUUGUUCGGAUUCACUGGGCGUAAAGGGUGCGUAGGUGGGCAGGUAAGUCAGUGGUGAAAUCUCCGGGCUUAACCCGGAAACUGCCAUUGAUACUAUCUGUCUUGAAUACCGUGGAGGUGAGCGGAAUAUGUCAUGUAGCGGUGAAAUGCUUAGAUAUGACAUAGAACACCAAUUGCGAAGGCAGCUCACUACACGAAUAUUGACACUGAGGCACGAAAGCGUGGGGAUCAAACAGG
rnacentral:rRNA from 1 species